rnacentral:rRNA from 1 species
GAGAUCAAAGAAGUUCGCGCGGGCGACAUCGCGGCUGCUAUCGGCCUGAAAGACGUGACUACCGGUGACACCCUGUGUGAUCCGGAAAACCCGAUCAUUCUGGAACGUAUGGAAUUCCCUGAGCCGGUAAUCUCCAUCGCGGUAGAACCGAAAACCAAAGCUGACCAGGAAAAAAUGGGUCUGGCUCUGGGCCGUCUGGCGAAAGAAGACCCGUCGUUCCGCGUAUGGACUGAUGAAGAAUCUAACCAGACCAUCAUCGCUGGUAUGGGUGAACUUCACCUAGAUAUCAUCGUUGACCGUAUGAAGCGUGAAUUCAACGUUGAAGCGAACGUGGGUAAACCUCAGGUUGCUUACCGCGAAGCGAUUCGCGCGAAAGUUACCGACAUCGAAGGUAAACACGCGAAACAGUCUGGUGGUCGCGGUCAGUAUGGUCAUGUUGUUAUCGACAUGUACCCGCUGGAGCCGGGCUCUAACCCGAAAGGUUACGAGUUCAUCAACGACAUCAAAGGUGGUGUAAUUCCUGGCGAGUACAUCCCGGCCGUUGAUAAAGGCAUCCAGGAGCAGCUGAAAUCUGGCCCGCUGGCGGGUUAUCCGGUAGUUGAUCUCGGUGUGCGUCUGCACUUCGGUUCUUACCAUGACGUUGACUCCUCUGAGCUGGCGUUUAAACUGGCUGCGUCUAUCGCCUUUAAAGAAGGCUUUAAGAAAGCAAAACCAGUUCUGCUUGAGCCGAUCAUGAAGGUUGAAGUAGAAACACCUGAAGAGAAUACCGGUGACGUUAUCGGCGACCUUAGCCGCCGUCGUGGUAUGCUCAAAGGUCAGGAAUCUGAAGUUACAGGCGUUAAGAUCCACGCUGAAGUACCGCUGUCUGAAAUGUUCGGAUAUGCAACUCAGCUGCGUUCUCUGACCAAAGGUCGCGCAUCGUACACUAUGGAAUUCCUGAAGUAUGAUGAUGCGCCGAACAACGUUGCUCAGGCCGUAAUCGAAGCCCGUGGUAAAUAAGCCGCAGGGUUAAAAACCAAAAUCCCGUGCUCUCUCCUGAAGGGGAGAGCGCUAUAGUAAGGAAUAUAGCCGUGUCUAAAGAAAAAUUUGAACGUACAAAACCGCACGUUAACGUCGGCACCAUCGGCCACGUUGACCACGGUAAAACUACCCUGACCGCUGCAAUCACCACCGUACUGGCUAAAACCUACGGCGGUGCUGCUCGUGCAUUCGACCAGAUCGAUAACGCUCCGGAAGAAAAAGCGCGUGGUAUCACCAUCAACACUUCUCACGUUGAAUACGAUACCCCGACCCNAAGGGGGGACGGAGAAGGCUAUGUUGGCCGGGCGACGGUUGUCCCGGUUUAAGCGUGUAGGUAUGUGUUCCAGGUAAAUCCGGUUCACUUUAACACUGAGGCGUGACGACGAGGCACUACGGUGCUGAAGCAACAAAUGCCCUGCUUCCAGGAAAAGCCUCUAAGCAUCAGGUAACAUCAAAUCGUACCCCAAACCGACACAGGUGGUCAGGUAGAGAAUACCAAGGCGCUUGAGAGAACUCGGGUGAAGGAACUAGGCAAAAUGGUGCCGUAACUUCGGGAGAAGGCACGCUGACACGUAGGUGAAGUGAUUUACUCACGGAGCUGAAGUCAGCCGAAGAUACCAGCUGGCUGCAACUGUUUAUUAAAAACACAGCACUGUGCAAACACGAAAGUGGACGUAUACGGUGUGACGCCUGCCCGGUGCCGGAAGGUUAAUUGAUGGGGUCAGCGCAAGCGAAGCUCCUGAUCGAAGCCCCGGUAAACGGCGGCCGUAACUAUAACGGUCCUAAGGUAGCGAAAUUCCUUGUCGGGUAAGUUCCGACCUGCACGAAUGGCGUAAUGAUGGCCAGGCUGUCUCCACCCGAGACUCAGUGAAAUUGAACUCGCUGUGAAGAUGCAGUGUACCCGCGGCAAGACGGAAAGACCCCGUGAACCUUUACUAUAGCUUGACACUGAACAUUGAGCCUUGAUGUGUAGGAUAGGUGGGAGGCUUUGAAGUGUGGACGCCAGUCUGCAUGGAGCCGACCUUGAAAUACCACCCUUUAAUGUUUGAUGUUCUAACGUGGACCCGUGAUCCGGGUUGCGGACAGUGUCUGGUGGGUAGUUUGACUGGGGCGGUCUCCUCCUAAAGAGUAACGGAGGAGCACGAAGGUUGGCUAAUCCUGGUCGGACAUCAGGAGGUUAGUGCAAUGGCAUAAGCCAGCUUGACUGCGAGCGUGACGGCGCGAGCAGGUGCGAAAGCAGGUCAUAGUGAUCCGGUGGUUCUGAAUGGAAGGGCCAUCGCUCAACGGAUAAAAGGUACUCCGGGGAUAACAGGCUGAUACCGCCCAAGAGUUCAUAUCGACGGCGGUGUUUGGCACCUCGAUGUCGGCUCAUCACAUCCUGGGGCUGAAGUAGGUCCCAAGGGUAUGGCUGUUCGCCAUUUAAAGUGGUACGCGAGCUGGGUUUAGAACGUCGUGAGACAGUUCGGUCCCUAUCUGCCGUGGGCGCUGGAGAACUGAGGGGGGCUGCUCCUAGUACGAGAGGACCGGAGUGGACGCAUCACUGGUGUUCGGGUUGUCAUGCCAAUGGCACUGCCCGGUAGCUAAAUGCGGAAGAGAUAAGUGCUGAAAGCAUCUAAGCACGAAACUUGCCCCGAGAUGAGUUCUCCCUGAGACUUUAGGUCUCCUGAAGGAACGUUGAAGACGACGACGUUGAUAGGCCGGGUGUGUAAGCGCAGCGAUGCGUUGAGCUAACCGGUACUAAUGAACCGUGAGGCUUAACCUU